CGCGCUCAUGCAUACCCAAACUGGCAUCGGCCUAUGAAUGAAAAAUAAUUUAGUGGAAUAUACAUAUACACUUAAACUUAAACAACCAGUCUUACAGCUAUCUUUCCUGCAUUCGGUUCGGUUAACGCGUCGCGCGUCAUAUGGUGUCAGCGCCUUUCGGUCGUUUGGGCAUGAGGAGGGCUGCGCUGUUUCCUGGGAUCCGCCAAUUUGAUAGGAAGACAAUACCAAAUAAUAAAUGGACACAAACCAAAGUUAAUCGCACUACAUGAAACUCAAACCAUCAACGAAGAUACAUCUCUUAUCACGCCAAGACAAUUUGAGCUAUACCAAAAAAAAUGGUAUUACAUCAAGCACAAAAGCAAGUAAAGGCGUCGCCCUUCUCAUGUCAAAAAGUAGCGAACACAAUAUAAUUUCUAUCUAAUCCAAUGUUCUUUCCAUUGCUGCUUAAAUCUAAUUUGAAACACGCUUUGUAUGAAUAAAUAUCUACAUCUCAA